rnacentral:rRNA from 1 species
UACGGGGGGGGCAAGCGUUGUUCGGAAUUACUGGGCGUAAAGGGCUCGUAGGCGGCCAACUAAGUCGGACGUGAAAUCCCCAGGCUCAACCUGGGAACUGCAUUUGAGACUGCUCUGCUCGGGUGCGGAAGAGGGAAGCGGAAUUUCCGGUGUAGCGGUGAAAUGCGUAGAUAUCGGAAGGAACACCAGUGGCGAAAGCGGCUUCCUGGUCCGACACCGACGUUCAGGCACGAAAGCGUGGGGAGCAAACAGG